rnacentral:rRNA from 1 species
AGCUCCAAUAGCGUAUAUUAAAGUUGUUGCAGUUAAAAAGCUCGUAGUUGGAUUUCAGAUCGUGGCUUGCGGUUCACCUCGCGGUGCUUACUGCUUGUCCGGAUCUACCCGCCAAUUUUUCGUUCGUGCCCUUAACUGGGUGCGUUCGAGAAUUGGAAGUUUUACUUUGAAAAAAUUAGAGUGUUCAAAGCAGGCGAUUCGCCUGAAUAAUGGUGCAUGGAAUAAUGGAAUAGGACCUCGGUUCUAUUUUGUUGGUUUUCGGAACUCGAGGUAAUGAUUAAGAGGGACAGACGGGGGCAUUCGUAUUACGGUGUUAGAGGUGAAAUUCUUGGAUCGCCGUAAGACGAACUACUGCGAAAGCAUUUGCCAAGAAUGUUUUCA